rnacentral:misc_RNA from 1 species
GAGUUGUUCCAAUAAAACACACUGUUCCUCAGCCAUUUGCUCUAGCAACUGAAAAGCGUGCUUCAUCUGGAACUCGUCCUACUGGAUCUGACCUUGAUGCCCCUUUUGGUGUGAAUAAAUCAUCUAAUGCAAACAAUGUGCUACAUCCAAACGCUACAAAGCAGAAUCAGCCACUUGGAGUAUCAAGAAAGCCAUUGCAGCCAAAUAACAAGAAGCAUCCUGAUGAGGAGGAUACUUGUUCGGUCAUUUCUAUUACUGCAGCAUCUGCUCUGACUAAUAAGUCCAGGACAACUGUUGCAUCGGCUCCAGUAUUUAGAUGCUCUGAACGAGCUGAGAGACGGAAGGCGUUUUAUUCAAAAUUAGAGGAGAAGCACCAAGCAUUGGAGGCUGAGAAAACCCAAAGUGAAGCAAGGACAAAGGAAGAGAGGGAGGCAGCUAUUAAGCAACUGAGGAAAAGCUUGUUGUUUAAGGCUAACCCGAUGCCAAGUUUCUACCAUGAGGGACCACCAC